rnacentral:rRNA from 1 species
AACGGAGGGUGCCAGCGUUAUUCACCAUGACUGGGCGUAAAGGGCAUCUAGACAGCGGAAAUAAGUUUUGAAUAAAAGAGUGAAUUAAAAUUCUAGCAAUUCAUUCGUACUGAAGAAAAGCUUGAGUGCAAUAAAGGGUUGGAGAACUUUCAAUAGAGUAGUGAUAUGCAGGGAAAUAAGAUAAGGACGGGCAAUUGGCAAAGGCACUAACCCGGCUUGUUCUGACGUUAAAGUGCUAAAGCUAGGGUAGCAAUCGGG